rnacentral:rRNA from 1 species
GCUCAGUAACACGUGGAUAACCUACCCUUAGGACCGGGAUAACCUUGGGAAACUGAGGAUAAUACUGGAUAGGCAAUUAUUCCCGCAAUGGUUUUUUGUUUAAAUGUUUUUUCGCCUAAGGAUGGGUCUGCGGCCGAUUAGGUAGUUGGUUAGGUAAUGGCUUACCAAGCCGUUGAUCGGUACGGGUUGUGAGAGCAAGAGCCCGGAGAUGGAACCUGAGACAAGGUUCCAGGCCCUACGGGGUGCAGCAGGCGCGAAACCUCCGCAAUGUGAGAAAUCGCGACGGGGGGAUCCCAAGUGCCAUUCUUAACGGGAUGGCUUUUCAUUAGUGUAAAGAGCUUUUGGAAUAAGGGCUGGGCAAGACCGGUGCCAGCCGCCGCGGUAACACCGGCAGCUCUAGUGGUAGCAGUUUUUAUUGGGCCUAAAGCGUCCGUAGCCGGUUUAAUAAGUCUCUGGUGAAAUCCUGUAGCUUAACUGUGGGAAUUGCUGGAGAUACUAUUAGACUUGAGACCGGGAGAGGUUAGAGGUACUCCCAGGGUAGAGGUGAAAUUCUGUAAUCCUGGGAGGACCGCCUGUUGCGAAGGCGUCUAACUGGAACGGUUCUGACGGUGAGGGACGAAAGUUAGGGGCGCGAACCGGAUUAGAUACCCGGGUAGUCCUAACCGUAAACGAUGCGGACUUGGUGUUGGGGUGGCUUUGAGCUGCUCCAGUGCCGAAGGGAAGCUGUU